rnacentral:lncRNA from 1 species
AUUAGGUGCAAGAGACAAGUGGGACAUCGACUCUACAGGACAGAAAACAAGAGGUCGUCCGUGGCUUGGGGGCCACAGUGGGACCUCGGUGUCUUGACGGCCAAAGGAAACCCCGAACAGGAAUGUCCGGCCUCUUGCCUGACGGGGGCCCGGGAGGACGGGGACCAGGUCCCAGCCAACCUCGCCCUCCACGGAGCUCUGGGCACCGAGACUGGCGGGCGCCGGGAGAGCCGGAGAACCAAGGGUUGCAUCUAUGCUCUGGUUUGGGUUCAGUUUUAUUUUAAGGCCAGGAAAAUGCAAAGCAUCCUGGCCUGUAUUCCUCACGAUUCUUGCCAGGGGAAAGAAAUCUGUCUCCUGUUUCAAGAACUGCGCGCGAUGGCUUGUGGUUGGGGCAGUAAAGACAACCCCACAGAACUUUACAGGGUGCAACGGGCUUUCCUUCGUCAGAUCCCAAGUGGGACGCCAGUAAGCCCUGACCGCCAAUCCUAUUCAUCAGCUUAGUCACGGAGCUGAUGGCUCCCGACUAGAUCCCCAGACUUCCUGUCCCCUGUCAACACGGGGCCAGGCUCCCCCAGCAGAAAGAGUCUUGGAACCACAAGCCACCACCUCGAGCCUCAUCACAGGCACGGCUGACGUCCAAAAUGACAUCACACCUUCCCCUUCGGAUGCUGCAGAGAAGCUGUGCGAUCAGACACACACACUUACACACCCCUCUUCCUGCGCGCCUCCUCCCAAGGCUGUGUCACAAAUCUAUUGUGCCACCUGGAAUUCCCUGCCCACCUCCCCAACCCCAAAUGAUUUUUUUUUUUUUUUUGGCUUUUUAGGGCCAAACCCACGGCAUAUGGAAUUCCCAGGCUAGGGGUCGAAUUGGAGCUGUAGCUGCCGGCCAGGGCCACACCCGAUCCGAGCCACAUCUGCGACCUACAUCACAGCUCAUGACAACACUGGAUCCGUAAGGCACUGAACGAGGCCAGGGAUCGAACCUGCAUCCUCAUGGAUACCAGUUGGAUUCAUUACCACUGAGCCGCAGCAGGAACUGAUUUUUUUUAUUAGUGGGUUCUACAUGCCUACGUUGGGUGAUUUGAGAAGAAGGAGAACGCAGAUAUUUGCCCACUAAGAUGAUCAUUAUUAUCAUCACGGCAUAUUUUUAAGCAUAUUUUUACCGUAGUUGUCACCAUCAUACCCACAGGAUCUUGUCUCCUGCAUACAUUUCGCCUGCCGUCAUCACAGGCAUCUCCCAUGUCCCUAAAAAUGGUUUGUCAGGCCUUACUUUCAGAAGUUUGCAACACUCUGCGGUGAGGAUGUACCACCAUUUUUCUAACCAAUUAUUGUGGGACAGUUAGCUGUUUCUAAUGUUUCAGUGUUAAAUAAAAAAAAUGUUGCAGUGACCA